UUAUGAGCAUAUCACUAAUGGUAAUGACCAGAGUUGAUUGAUUUCUAAUGUGAAUAUAAUUACACAGAUGUAGGGGAAUUAAACAAAAAAAAAUCCACACUGUUAAUUGUUGGGUUUUUAGGGAGCGUGUGUGGGGAGAGGGGGUGGAAAGGGAGAAGCAGACCAAGUCUGUUCUGCAUGAAGAAUGUGAAUAUAAAGAUUAAUAACUCCAGUAGGAAGCAGCAAGUUUGGUCUAAAAGGAAAGAAAGUCAAAUGCAGUUAACUCUGGGAAUGGUUAAUGCGCAUACAUAUUGCAAAACAUAAUUUUCCCUCUUGUACCCCCCCCCAGGUACAGCUUGAAGCUCAAUAAGUUUGCUUGGAAGAGGUCGCUCCUGAGGAGCAGGCAGAGGCAGAGCUUUGCGCAUCGCCGGGCAGUCGGCUCCCUCCAGCCGUGCAGGCGGAUUUCUCCCGGCUUGUGCUCUGGCAGUGAUGCGCCAGGCAGGCUCAGCUCGGAGGCAGAGCUGCUGCCAAGCAGAGGGGAGCUGCUCCUUCCUCUGGGGUCAGGGAGCAGGGGAGAUGCCAUCUCAGCUCCAGGAUCUUGGGUAGCAGUACAUCUCGGCUACGGCACUGCCACCCCUGGCAGGAGCAUCUUGCCCACCCUGCUGCUCCGCUCUUUUCGGGGAGGGGAGCUGGAUGGAGAUCUGCAACAGACAUUUCUCCUUCCUUGGGAAUAGCAUUAAUUUAAUACACUAAGCUGACAUCAGAGGCACUGAAAAUGACAUGGCACCAGCAGUCUAGAAUGCUGCAGUAUAUCUUGAUGUUGGCAAGAAUGGCUGGGGAGACCAUAUACUUUUCUGGACGUUCACCUGAGGACUUCUGAGAAACAUGGGAAAGCUGGCUCCUUGACCACAUGGUAAGUGUUCAGAAGGACAUAUCCUCUUGCUUCCUAUCUUUCCUCGUUUCCAUAGAAGAAGGAUUCCCCAGUUGCUCCUCUCAUUUUCUUGAAGAGUCAGCAGCAAGACCAUAGGUCUCCUUCACAUAAGAAAAGAAAGAAAGAAAGGAGA
rnacentral:lncRNA from 1 species